rnacentral:rRNA from 1 species
CGGCGUAAAGCGUGGUUAAUGAUUCUUACUAAAUAGGGCCGAAUAAUCUCAAAACAGUCAAAUCUAUUCGAGACCACGAAGCACGCCCACGAAGGUGACCCUAAUAUCCCUGACCCCACGAAAGCCAUAACACAAACUGGGAUUAGAUACCCCACUAUGUAUGGCCGUCAAAAUUGAUGGUACUUCACUCGAACCAUCCGCCCGGGAACUACGAGCCCUAGCUUAAAACCCAAAGGACCUGGCGGUGCUUUAGAUCCCCCUAGAGGAGCCUGUCCUAUAACUGACAACCCCCGUUAAACCUCACCACCCUUUGUCAAUCCCGCCUAUAUACCACCGUCGUAAGCUUACCCUAUUGAAGGUUAAAAAGUAAGCACUAAUAGUAGUACUAGAGACGUCAGGUCGAGGUGUAGCGUAUGGGGUGGGAAGAGAUGGGCUACAUUCUCUAAUGAAGAGAAUACGAACGGUAAUUUGAAAAAACUACACUGAAGGAGGAUUUAGUAGUAAGGAAGGAGCAGAGUGCCCUACUGAAAAUGGCCCUAAAGCGCGUACAGACCGCCCGUCACUCUCUCCAAAAC